rnacentral:rRNA from 1 species
GAUGAACGCUGGCGGCGUGCCUAAUACAUGCAAGUCGAGCGAACAGACGAGGAGCUUGCUCCUCUGACGUUAGCGGCGGACGGGUGAGUAACACGUGGAUAACCUACCUAUAAGACUGGGAUAACUUCGGGAAACCGGAGCUAAUACCGGAUAAUAUAUUGAACCGCAUGGUUCAAUAGUGAAGGACGGUUUUGCUGUCACUUAUAGAUGGAUCCGCGCCGCAUUAGCUAGUUGGUAAGGUAACGGCUUACCAAGGCGACGAUGCGUAGCCGACCUGAGAGGGUGAUCAGCCACACUGGAACUGAGACACGGUCCAGACUCCUACGGGAGGCAGCAGUAGGGAAUCUUCCGCAAUGGGCGAAAGCCUGACGGAGCAACGCCGCGUGAGUGAUGAAGGUCUUCGGAUCGUAAAACUCUGUUAUUAGGGAAGAACAAAUGUGUAAGUAACUAUGCACGUCUUGACGGUACCUAAUCAGAAAGCCACGGCUAACUACGUG